UUAUCAUCUUUUUGGAGAGCAGAUAUCUUUGGCAAUCUCACAAGUAUGCCUUCUUCAAGAUAAAAAAUUAAAGUGCCACAAAGAACAAAAAUGAGCCCAGGACCAGACACAUGCUAGAAGCCAUUGGACACAUUCAUUUUCAAUUUUUCUUCUUGAUCAGGAAAUGGAAACACUUGAGCUAAAAUAACUGGCCGGAGGUGUGCAACUAUGGUGACAGAGCUGGAUGGGAGAGCACAGAAGUCUGGCUUCAGCGUCUGUGUGAUAAACUUCUCAUGGAGUAUCUGCCCCAGAGCAGGAAGCCACUGGGCGAUGCUUCUCUGGGCUUCCUCCUGCACCUGUGUGGGACACAGGUCCCAGAUCACUUUCCUAUAGAUUUCCACAGUGACUAUGCCGGGGUGGUUGAUAUUUUUUCCGUAUGUUGCAGUGUUCCAGAAUGAAUUAUGCUAAAAUUGUAAAUAUGGAAUUUGCCCUCAAGCAAAGCACUGUGCACCACUGACCUAGACCAGAAGCAGCUCUGCACUGGCAUUCAAACGUCAUUCUCCCUCUCAACUGCGGGAAUGCUUUGGUUCCUAUUAUAUUUCUGACCUUUCAUAUUCUUGGUGGUGCAUCUGCUAAAACUCAAGCCAGACACCAAGAACUGCAUCCUUUCUGUGCUUUGAAAGCUUCUGCAUUGUGUGCUCAGCUAUACUGCUGCAUCUACAGAUUGCCAUCUCUGAGAAGCAGCCCCAUGAACUUGAGGAUGGUGGCAAUCCCAAGUGAAGCAUAUAAUUGGAUGGAAGAACAGAGAAGAGAAGAUGAAUGGGGGCCUAUGGUGCUAAAACAGGAUGUUAAAAUGGGCAUUUUGACUAGAGCCCCAAGGUAUAAAUAUAAGACACCAACUGGGGCACUAGACCAAGAAAAGCAUGUUCAAAGCAGGUACUGGGAACCCAUCAGAGCUCCCCAGUCCCCCGUGCAAUGGUGAUGAAAAGAGGGAUUCUAAAGAGAAUUUCUCUGGUGCGACUCACCCGGAUGCUGUGAGUUCCAGGGCCACCCCCAAGAGGAAGGGUGGGGGGUGCUGCUCCCUCACCUGGGGCAAGAGGAAGGGCUUGAGUUCACUCGGCCAGCAUAAUAUUGGUCCCCAGCACCCAGGCAGAGGAGUGUCUGAUUCAUACCUGAAGACACGUAAAGCCUGC